UACGGGAGGCAGCAGUGGGGAAUAUUGCACAAUGGGGGAAACCCUGAUGCAGCAAUGCCGCGUGUGUGAAGAAGGCCUGCGGGUUGUAAAGCACUUUCAGUAGGGAGGAAACGGUUACGGGUUAAUAUCCCGUAGCCUUGACGUUACCUACAGAAGAAGCACCGGCUAACUCUGUGCCAGCAGCCGCGGUAAU
rnacentral:rRNA from 1 species